GCGGCUUAGCAGAGACUAUUGGGAAAGAGACAGCGAACGGAGGGCAACCGACUGUUGGGAAGGCUUGUGGGAUACAGCAGGGGAAAGACCUAUUUGAUAUGAAGUCACCCUAGGGCCAAGUCCAAGGAAGAGUUGUUAUAGGCUAGCUUUAUGUUGGGCCGAAAGGAGAGGAUUGAACUCAGUCUUGGGCCGACUUGCGCGUGUGGUGUUCUUUAAGGCGAAAAACAAAA
rnacentral:misc_RNA from 1 species